rnacentral:rRNA from 1 species
AAGGAUAUUGACGGGGGCCCCGCACAAGAGAUGGAGCAUGUGGUUUUAUUCGAUGCGACGCGAAGAACCUUACCUGGGCUUGAACUGUGGUGGACCGCCCUAGAAAUAGGGUUUCCCCUUCGGGGGCCGCCAUAGAGGUGCUGCAUGGCUGUCGUCAGCUCGUGUCGUGAUGAUGUUGGGUUAAGUCCCGCAACGAGCGCAACCCCUAUCCCUAGUUGCCAACGGGUCAUGCCGGGAACUCUAGGGAGACUGCCCCGGAAAUCGGGGAGGAAGGUGGGGAUGACGUCAAGUCCUCAUGGCCUUUAUGUCCAGGGCUACACACGUGCGUACAAUGGGUCGGCACUAAAGGGUUGACGAAGUCGCGAGGCAGAGCUAAUCCCAAUAAAGCCGUCCUCUAGUACGUGAUUGCAGUCAUGCAACUCGACUGCAUGAAGUCUGGUAAUCGUCAUA